rnacentral:lncRNA from 1 species
CCUCCCCACAAGCUGAGGGAGCCGGCUGCGGCCUUCGCCAGCCCAGAAAGGGGCUCCUACAGUGCAGUGGCGGGCUGAAGGGCUGCUCAAGCGCCGCCAAAGUGGGAGCCCAGGCAGAGGAGGCGCCCAGAGCGAGCGAGGGCUGUGAGGACUGCCAGCACGCUGUCACCUCUCACUCAUAUAGAUUGCCAAUCUAUUUGUGAACCAGGGGUUUGCUGGAGUUUGGAUUUACUACUGAGUCAUAUUUGGAGCAUGCUGGAAUCUUACAACUGAGAUUACCGAGUCAGAAACUGGUUUGACUGUUCUCGUCGGCAUGGUUGAGACAUUAUCCCUGGCAGAAGGCUGGACUGGCAUGGACAUCAUUUGAUGAGUUCGUCUCCUCUUAACAAUCAAAGCCUGUUUUCCAGUGCGAAUAAACUGUUGCCUUAUAUAUUGUUUUCCCAUUUUUAUAGUUGUUUACUGCAAAAAAGAGUCUGGUACAAGUUACUUUGCUAAAACCUUGAUAAAGUUUUAUUCUACGAUUCUUCAAUCAAUGUUUCUGUUUUGUUUAUUCUGUUAUCUCUGUUGUGUCAUACCAUAAUUCUCUCAUUAAUAUAAUGGAUAAUAAACCAGCUUACAGUACCCAAAGGAGAGCUUCUUGGACCCUGGAAAAGUCUUCAAAUGCACCGCAUACACAUUAAACUUUUUUUGCCCUCUGAAGAUGCCUUUGAAUCAAAUAAAAAUUGCUUUACUUUCAAAAUCAAGAAUCAAUUUUCCAGAGUUCCCUGGUUGAAAAGGAUAUUUUUAUCUGUGGCCUCAUCUGAUUCUUGAGGAAUUUAAUUCUCCAUUUUUCAAAGUUUGGAUGGGAGUACUCUAGGAUUCACUUGGGGGGCAUUUUAUAACCCAGAUUGCUUCCCAAUACCCUUCUUUAUUUCUCAUCUCAGACUCCAUGGAUUUAGCCUUCUACUCUUUCUGUGACAAGGUAAUAAUAUCAGAUCUCUGUCUAUAUAUAUGUGGAGUUGAUUGAAGGACUCAAAGUUUUAUACAGACCAAGUAAAGGCACUGGACCCCUGGAAGACACACUCUGAUGCCAGCAGAACAGGCUUGCACUCAUAUCCAGAGUUUGAAGACCACUUCCAUGGACCACUGCUGGCAGAAAUGCCCCCAGAGUGGUCGACCAACUGUGCACCCAUGCUCCUAGCCAGAGUAAUAGCUUCAUAGCCCCACCCCCAGCCAGCCAGACCCCAAGUUGGCUGAUCCACCAUGUGCAUGCAUGUGCCUCUGAACUGAAAAACAGCCUGGGUGCAAACAUGAGUAACAUGGCCCUGCUCUGGAGACUACUGGGAACACAAACACAGGCCAUUUAAGACAUCUACCUGCUUCUCCUUUGCCUUCCAUCAUGACUGAAAGUUGUCUGAGGUCUCCCAGCCACGUGUCCUGUACAGCCUGUGGAACUGUGUAGAAAGGAAAAAGGGAGAGAAAUGGAGACAUUUAUUGAAUCCAGGCACCAUGCUGUGGAUUGCUAAAUACAGCUUCGUAAUUUGCAUCUAGUUAUCUGGUCUUCCAAGCUAGCUUUUUCAAGUAUUUUUACCUUUACACAUAAAGUUCUAUUGGAGAUGUACUUCACCCUUUUCUGCACUAAAGAGUUUAAUUUUUCAAGGAGUAUACAGCCAUAUGAGAAUCACUGUUAUAGGUGAUGAGGCUCCAUGAGAGGGCAUUAACUUCUAAAAGCAUGAGAAACCAUCAUCUUCUUCUGCAAUGAGAGAAUCAAUGUGCCUCAUGAAGUUACAUACCAUGAUGAAAUAAACCAUAAUCCAUCCAAAGUUUACCAGCCUCUUAUCCCUGCAGCGCCACAUUUAACUUGACUCUGAAGUUACAGUUAAAUUAAAAGGGUUUGCAUAUUUUAUUCUCUCUAGUGAUUUUAUUGCUCACUAGAGAUUUGCUGUAUUAAAAAGCUGGUACAGUUGAAGAAAGAGCUCAACUCUGGCAAAGGGAGACCAAGAGUAACCUCUGGUGUGGAAGUUGGCUGAGCACUCAGUGCCUGACUGUGCUAUACUCCUGUUGGACAUGAGCUGUCUCUCAGAACACCAAUUCAGACAAGGUUACUCCAAGACUAUGAUACAAUAAAGCAAAGCAAGGAUACUUCGUAAUUUUGUGGAAGCACAGACAAAAUCAAUAUCAGUAUGCCACCUACAAAAGACCAAACAGCCCUUCUCUUGGCCAAAAUGAGUGAUGUCUACUUCUUUACUAAUGAAGUUUUAUUUUUGUUCUAGUCAGCUCUCCAUCCAGAUGAGAUUUUUUGAGAUACCCAAUCUUAUAAUUGCCUCCAGCUUUCUGACAGCAUCUAAUUUUGGCAAACUCUCCCCUCCUUCUGUCCUCUCCCAAAUGACCUAACCUAAACCCCAAAUCUACAGAAAGUUAUUUCUAUUACCAUCUUACUGAGACACCCCAUGAUUCCUCAUGAUAUGUGUUAUUUGUCUGUGCAACAGGUAAUAAAUUGAACUUGUUCACUACUCACACUGAAUUUGGACACUGGAGAAGAGAAAGGAGAAGGCCAUUCUGGCUACCCUAGGACUCAGAGACGGCUUUAAAGAAGAAUCAGAAAAUGGAGACUGGGAUUGGAAGCAGAGAUCCGAUGGCCAAAUUACAGUCUGCCACUGAAGCUAACACACCUAUGGGUUCAGAGUAUUCUUUAGUCUCUUCCACCAUGUGAGGGCACAGUGAAAGGAAGGACUUCUAUGGAGCAGAAUGUGGGCCCUUACCAACACUGAGUCUUCCAUUGCCUUGACCUUUAACUUCCCGGCCUUCACAACAGUGAGAAAUAAAUUUCUGUAGUUUAUAAGCCAAUUAACCCAACCUGUAAACUCAAUGUGGAACACAGUUUGAGAAAAGAAGUGAGAAGAUUCAAUUUUGAAGUUGGAUCACUCUCCUACAGGCAAUGAAGACCACAUCACUGAUGGACUCUGACUAAUACAUCAUGAACUUGCAGAAUUUUGGAUAUUUGACAAAUCUGAGGAAUUGAAGAGACGGGCACCUCACCUUUUCUGAGCAGAAGAGUUCAUUUGAUGAAACCUGAAGUAGAGAGCAG